CCUACGGGAGGCUGCAGUGGGGAAUAUUGGACAAUGGUGGCAACCCUGAUCCAGCCAUGCCGCGUGUGUGAAGAAGGCCCUCGGGUUGUAAAGCACUUUCAGUGAGGAAGAACGCCUGGUGGUUAAUACCCAUCAGGAAAGACAUCACUCACAGAAGAAGCACCGGCUAACUCCGUGCCAGCAGCCGCGGUAAUACGGAGGGUGCGAGCGUUAAUCGGAAUUACUGGGCGUAAAGCGCGCGUAGGUGGCUUGAUAAGCCGGUUGUGAAAGCCCCGGGCUCAACCUGGGAACGGCAUCCGGAACUGUCAAGCUAGAGUGCAGGAGAGGAAGGUAGAAUUCCCGGUGUAGCGGUGAAAUGCGUAGAGAUCGGGAGGAAUACCAGUGGCGAAGGCGGCCUUCUGGACUGACACUGACACUGAGGUGCGAAAGCGUGGGUAGCAAACAGGAUUAGAUACCCGAGUAGUC
rnacentral:rRNA from 1 species